CGCUCCGCCCCGCCCACCCGGCGUGAUGGCGUCAUGGUCCCCGAGUGACACGUCACACGUACCCGGUAACAAAGAGAGGUGGAUACAAAGUUUCCACCGCAGAUGGAUACAAAAUGCUGCGGUAACUCAACGGGACAGGCUGCGUCUCUAGUACAGAGAGAAGGAAUGGGUGAUGUGUCGGACGGGUCUGAAGAACGAUCUCAACCCGAAACCCGUUCCUUCUCCUUUUCUCCACAGUUGCUGCCUGCCCCGCUUUGUUACUCCAGCAUUUUGUGUCUCUUCUAUCGAGGAAAGAAGACGGGUUUGAAAGCGGGAGGAAAUUGAGCUUUGAUGGCAUUGCAGUGAGAAUCCACUACCACUUCACAUCCAGGAAUGACCAUCUUGAAGAAGUAAAUUUCUGAUAAGAGGUUUUCUGUAAAUUCUUUGAAAUUUACCUCCCUCACUUGCCAGUCAGAUGAAUGGAGUUACUUCAUCUGAAAAGAACAGGAUAUUGGAGAAGGAGUGGGUGCGUGAGGUGUCAUGAAUAACUGGAUUGUUUUACAAAGUGCAAUCUUGAUGGGUUGGUUAUUUAAGUCCAUAGUUUUAUUAAUUAAGUGAUGUGCUCUACAACACCUUCCCAGGGGCCUGCCAUUUACUGUGCAGGUCCUGUCCUGGUUUGACUUCCCAAAAUACACAUUUCUCACAUUCAUCUGCAUAGUAAAUUCCAUUAACUGUUCUGCAGCCCAUCUGCCAAACUGAUCAAGAUCCUGCUGUAACAUUUGUAAUGAACUUUGCUAUCUACGAUACUAUGGCAAAAUUGUCUCACAAAAAAUGUGAUACUUUCUCUAGUCUGCUGAAGGGUACCAAUGUUAGACUUCAAAUUCCUAGUUCACCUUGUGCUAUAGCUUUAAUAUUUAAAAUAAUCAAUUUGGAAUGAUCUUGUCCACAGCAGUAGACAUUUUAAUUUGAUGCCAAGAAUAUUUCAACUGCAAAAAUCCAAAUGCAGUGAUCAAUCUCAGCAACCCAGUUCCAUUUUUUUAUUUUUGUCUUUUUUUAAUAUCCUUUUCUCUUGUACAUCCCUCUGGUGUAAAUGAGAAUUUAUAUUAUGGGAGAUCAAGUUACCAGAACUUUCUUAUUCUUCUUUAUUGGUAAAGUUAAGUACUGUUGUUAGCAUUUUCUUAGUCAUGUCCCCUGAACUCUGAACAACUCUGGGAAUGACACAAGGUCUCAAAUGAAAUUGCACUCCUUGGAACAGGCAGGCUUACAUUUUUACUGGAUUUCGUGUUCGUAAAAUAAUAAGUAUUCAAUGUUUUUGGAGCAAACACUGUACAAUGGUGGACCUUCAAGCACUUUUUUUAUUUAGAUAGGAUAGGUUUGGAGGAAUAUGGGCUGGAUGCAGGCAGGUGGGACUAGUUUAUGGGGGACAUGUUGUUCGGUGUGCGACUUUGUUGGCUUUAUCUUGCACUAAACGUUAUUCGUUUAUCCUGUAUCUAUAUACUGUAAAUUACUCGAUUGUAAUCAUAUAUUAUCUUUCUACUGUCUGGAUAGUACGUAACAAAAGCAUUUCACUGUACCUCAGUAUGCAUGACAAUAAACUAAACUGAACUGAAGUUGUACCGAAGGGCAAGUUUCCACACUUUAUUUGUCUCCUUACCUUUUCAACUUUCUUGUUUAUUUGCCAUUGCUCCACAGCCUGGGAUCAAUGUUUCCACAUUUAAUUUCUCCAACCCCACACAGGCAGAAGUGACCAAGAUUGGUUAAUCACAGAAGCCAAGCCAAACUGAGCUUGAAAUAAUGUGAUAUGCCUUGUCCAUUCGCUGGAGUGCAUCUUUGCAGGGAUAAUUUAAUAGCGAAACACUAGAUCUGGACAGGUACAUCGAUAGGAAAGGUUUAGAGAGAUAUGAGCCAAAUGCAGGCAGGUUGGGCAUCUUGACAAGUAUGACCACGUUGGGCCGAAAGGCCUUUUCCACGUAGUAUGAUUCUAUGACACUAUUUACUUGCAAUGCAGAUUAUUAAUCAUAUUAGCUCUGACUAUCACUUUUUGAAAUUAUAUUAAAAAUCCUGGAGGAUUCAAUCGUUUCAUUAAAACUUCACAUAUGUGGGUAAAGUUAGAAUGUAUCCCGUGAGCUUGAGAACCCAGCUCUAGAUUUUGGCUAAAUCUAAGUUCUCUUUCUUCCUAUAUUUUUAUCCUUGGCUAUCUGGAAGCUGUUUACUUCAGCAGGGAUUAGCCUGAUCCAUCUCCAUCAAUGUUGGUGAAUAGUCUAAGAAAGAAACCUCCAUAUAUUUUUCUUUAAAAUGAUUUGGCAAAUCACACAGAUAUUUCUACUUCUCUAUUAAUUACUUGACUUUUUUAUUUACCUUUCCAGAAUUCUCAGACAUCUCAUAAAAUUCAACAAAAAAAAUAAUAAUUUCCCUAUCCCCAGAAAUUACAACAGGACAAAGACAAAUUCUUUGGAAUUUCAGGGCCACUCUUCGAUUGUCGGCAGAAAGCCAUGUCCCAGUAAAGAUGAAAUGUGAAUGCAGAGCAAUUCCCUUCAGUACUAUGAUUCAACACAACGAGGCUCAUAAAGAUUUGCAGUGGGAAUAACAGUGAAAGUAGAAGCAUUCAGCAUUAUCAAGGAAUUUUCUCACACGCAGUAAAACGCAGGAAUUAGAAAUCUAGCAAUCAAGAA